UGCCGACAUGACCCUAAUCCAGGGUGCUAUUGGUGAAAAGGUAAGCACAUGAACCUUGCAUCUUCUUCAAUGAUUUUAUAUCUGAUACAAAAGAACAAAUAAACUGAUCAGCUGCUACCCCAGUGGCGCUCCAACUAACCUUCAUAUAGAAAAAGGUUGUUUUGUUUGUUUCAUUUUCUUCCUAUUUUCUGAUGGGACCAUAUCACAGAACCAAAUAAUUUUAGUAAAAAGUAAAACUCUGAUGUAAUUGAGCAUGCACUUUGCAGUAGGUUGCAUUCUAAUUUAGUUUUUUACACUCACAUUCUCGAUUCUUUGGUCUUUAGGUCGGCAAGUUUGUACAGCUUAUUACAACUUUCUUCGGUGGGUUUGUGCUGGCGUUCAUCAAAGGGUGGCUUCUAACUCUUGUUAUGCUUUCUACUAUACCUCCAUUUGUUGUUGCUGCUGGGAUUGUCGCAAAGAUGAUAUCCAAAAUAUCUAGCGAGGGUCUGGCGUCAUACAGUGAUGCAGGUGAUACUGUUGAACAAACAAUUGGCUCCAUAAGGACGGUAGGCCCUAUGCUAUCUUGAUCAUGCACAACAGAUAAUAAGUUUGUGACUGACUUGUAAUCAUAGUAAAUAACAGGUGGCUUCCUUCAACGGUGAAAAGAAAGCCAUUGCCCUGUACAACAAUUUCAUAAAGAAGGCAUACAAUGGCGCAGUCAAGGAAGGGAUCGUCCAAGGCUUUGGAAUGGGUUUACUUUCAUUUAUAUAUUUUUCCGCCUUUGGACUGAUUAUAUGGUAUGGCAGCAAGUUAAGCCUCACUAAAGGAUACAGCGGAGCAGAUAUCCUAAAUGUAAUGUUUGCAAUCAUGAUAGGUGCAAGGUGAGCACUGAUGCUGAAAAUGUCAUUCUAAUAGUUAUAAUUCAACAAAUAGCAUGCCUUGUUCUAGCAUUUUACCCGUAAGAAGCUUAUAGUAGUGGUAUCUGCUUUGGAUCAUAUUCUAGUACUUCAGCACAACAAAAUAGAUCACAUCUGUCUGCUAAUAUGAAAUUCUUUUAACUGUUUGAGAUAGAAAUUUAGGUGAUGCAACCCCCUGCAUAGCUUCCUUUGAGGAAGGAAGAGUUGCAGCUUACAGAUUGUUCAAAACAAUCAAGAGGAGACCAGAAAUUGACUAUGGGGAUAACACUGGCAUUGUGUUAGAAGACAUCAAGGGUGAAGUAGAAUUGAAGGAUGUGUUCUUCAGCUACCCAAGCAGACCAGAUCAACUCAUAUUUGAUAGAUUUUCAGUGCAUGUAUCAAGUGGCACAACAAUGGCUAUAGUUGGGGAGAGUGGGAGUGGGAAGUCAACUGUGAUCAAUCUGGUUGAGAGAUUUUAUGAUCCACAGGCUGGAGAAGUUUUAAUUGAUGGGAUGAACAUCAAAGGUUUCAAGCUAGAAUGGAUAAGGGGCAAGAUUGGCCUUGUUAAUCAGGAACCAGUGCUCUUCAUGACGUCCAUCAGGGAGAAUAUUACCUACGGAAAAGAGGAUGCAACCCUUGAAGAAAUCAAGAAAGCAGCUGAGCUCGCAAAUGCAGGAUUCAUUGAGAACUUGCCUAAUGUACUUACAUGAACAUGAUCCACACAAUAAUAAGCCACGGUCAUGUACAAAACUAUAAGACUGAUCAUGUAUUUAUAUGAUUUCAGGGUUAUGAUACAACAGUUGGACAACGGGGUGCUCAGCUUUCUGGGGGACAGAAGCAGAGGAUUGCGAUCGCGAGGGCCAUCCUUAAAGACCCCAAAAUUCUUUUGCUUGAUGAAGCAACUAGCGCAUUGGAUUUGGAGUCUGAAAGGAUAGUCCAAGAUGCACUAAAUAGGAUCAUGUUGGGGAGAACCACACUUGUUGUGGCGCACCGUUUGAGCACUGUAAGAAAAGCUCACUGCAUCUCAGUUGUUUCUAAAGGAAAAUUAGUAGAACAAGGUAAUUGCCUCUUGAGCACAUUAUUUAGGUUCCUUUUGUGCAAAAAGGUUCAAAGAAAGAUUACUCACUUAUUCUUAUAAAUGCAGGACAUCAUGAUGACUUAGUAAAGGAUCCUAAUGGAGCAUACUCUCAGCUUAUACGGCUGCAAGAGAAACAACAAGAAAAUGGCCGAACGUCAGAUGCAAGAUUAUCAGGAUCAGCAUCUAAAAGGAGUGUGUCACUCAGACGAUCAAUAAGUAGAAGUUCAGCAGGGAGCAGCCGUCAUUCUUUAAACCUCCCAUUAGGUGUUCCUGGGCCCACUGAACUACUGGAGUAUAAUUUUGGACAAGGUGACAGACAAAUUGAAAAUACUGAUAGCAAGGUACCAAAUAAAGCACCAAUGGGACGGCUAAUUAACCUAAACAAACCAGAGGUUGCUGUGCUUCUGUUUGGGUCUAUUGUGGCAGCAAUUGAUGGAGCCAUCUUUCCAACACUUGGUUUAGCAAUGGCUAGUGCUUCCAAAAUAUUUUAUGAAUCACCAGACCAACAGCGCAAAGAUUCUAUCCUCUGGGCAUUGCUGUGUGUUGGGCUCGGUGCAAUUGCUAUGAUAUCAAAGAUAAUAAAUAGCUUUCUUUUUGCAAUAGCUGGCGGGAAGCUUAUAGAACGAAUCCGCGCUUUGACAUUCCAAAGCAUAGUGCACCAAGAAGUUGCUUGGUUUGACCAUCCUGAAAAUUCCAGGUAAGUAACCUAUAUUUUAAUCUAUUCACAGAACCAAAGAAUCAAUAUACUGAUUGUCAUUUUCAUUAUUAACAGCGGGGCACUUAAUGGAAGACUAAGUAUUGAUGCACUUAAUGUAAGACGUCUAGUGGGAGAUAACUUGGCCUUACUAGUCCAAAGUACCGCAACACUUACUUGUGGGAUAGUGAUUGCAAUGGUCGCAGACUGGAAGCUUUCACUGGUAAUCUUAUUUGUAAUUCCUUUAGUGGGUCUCCAGGGUUAUGCUCAGGUGAACUUCCUACGGGGGUUCAGUCAAGAUGCUAAGGUGAGUUUUUUUCCCUAGGCUUUACUUCUAAUGUUCCAGCCUUUGAGGUACAAAUAUGUAAAUCAUGAAAUGUUUUAUUGUUAUGUACUUAUGUUGUUCCCAAUAAACCAUGAGUUAUUAUUGCACAGCGAAAGGGUCUCUAGAUGAGUUGGAUAUGUGGUCAGAGUAGCACUUCUCAGGUCCUAAGUUCGACUUCAUAUGGGAGCAAAUUUCAGGCUAAAGUUAAAAAAAAUCCCUUGUUUGUCCCACGACAAAGCACAGCCCGGCCCCGGUGCCCCUGUUUGUUUCAGCUUUUUGGAGCUUCUGGCCACCAAAAGCUGCUGCGGACUACCAAACGCUCAACUUUUCAAUCAGCUUCUAUAAAAUUUGUUUGGGUAAAAAUCAUUUAAAAUCAACAUAAACACAUAAUCGGUUGAGUCGUUGCAAUAGUAGGAAUCCGUCACUUUCUACAUCCUGAGUCCUAUGGACACCUUUAUCUUCCUCCGCACGUAAUCCUAAUGAUACCCAGAUUCUCUACACAGCCAGAUUCUCCCCACAGCCAGAUUCUCAGAAAAGCUGGUCAGAAAAAAGCUGAACCAAACAGGCCCAGACUCACGGUCAUUCUCAAAUGGACUAUGAUGUCGUUGUGUAUGGGUGGGGCAGGGGUUCGGGGGUUUUCUCGAUCUGCGUGAGAGGAUCUUCGUCUUAAUAUAAUGUUCGGAGAAUGUCUUACCUCUCGCAAGUAAAGUUUGUUUCAUUAUUGCCACAAGUUAUUUUAAUUUUUUUAACAUAAUGGCAGGAGCUCUGCCUUUCAAUUAAGAAGAAGAAUGAAAUUGACCCAAUUUUAAGGAAAACCGGGCCCGAAACCUACACAGAGUGCACAAACAACCUAGAACAAGUUAUUUUAUCAUAUUGCAAAGUGUUUUGAAACUUAAAUUUGAUAGAUGCCUCAUGCUGACAAAAGGAAGACAAGUUAUCAUAUUUAAUAGUAAUCAAGGGUAUGAUUGGUUCUUCUGCCAAGGAUGGCUAGCGGAACAAUUCCAAACUAUCCUAGCCGAGCAAAGGUUAGGCUUAGGCAAGAAAAAGUGAAGCUGUUUGGUUGUUUUACAAGGAAGCAAGACUGUUCACUGUCAGAAGCACAUGCCUUCCUAUCGAUGCUCGCACUUUCCUUGCUCAGCCAGAGAGCCAAUUUGGCUUUGCCUGAAUCAGCAAGUUUUUUCUUGCUCAGACAAGCAAGCUCGCCCAGCAAACCUACUUUCUAAAGCUGCUACCAAACACAUUCUUACCUGUGAGAAUAGGAACCCAUGCCCCUAACCAGGGAUGGGGAGUAGUAUUAAUAGACUUAGUAACUGGGCCAGGCCCAUUACAGUGAGGGGUGAGACGGUAAUUACAUGGGGAAUACCCCAAACCCUAGAAUCCUAGACGGGUAGUCUAACACCCCCCCGCAGUCACAACUCUAUCCUGUACAGAUGUUGAGACUGGAACGAAAGUCUAAGAAUACACUCGACGGUAGUCCCUUGGUGAAGAUGUCGGCGAACUGCAGCGUGGUGGGGACACUGAGAACCCGAACGUCACCGGCAGCGACACGCUCGCGGACGAAGUGCAGGUCGAUCUCCACAUGCUUUGUGCGCUGAUGCUGCACGGGGUUGGUGGAGAGGUAGACCGCGCUGACGUUGUCGCAGUAGACGAGGGUGGCGCGCUGGAGGGGACUGUGGAGCUCGUGGAGGAGCUGGCGCAGCCAGGAGGCCUCUGCCACGCCGUUGGCCACGGCACGGUACUCGACCUCAGCGCUGGAGCGAGAGACGACGGGCUGACGCUUGGCGGCCUAAGAGACGAGGUUGGCGCCCAGGAACACGGCGUAACCGGAGGUGGACCGGCGCGUGUCGGGACAGCCAGCCCAGUCAGCGUCGGUGUAGACCACGAGCUCUGACGUUGGUGAUGGUCGGAGAAGGAGGCCGUAGUCGAGGGAGCCGCGGAGGUAGCGCAGAAUCCGCUUGAGCGCAGUGAGAUGGGGCUCCCGCGGAGUGUGCAUAUGCAGGCACACCUGCUGGACGGCGUAGGCGAUGUCGGGCCUGGAGAAGGUGAGGUACUGGAGCGCGCCGGUCAGGCUCCGGUAGGACGUCGCGUCGGCGACCGGAGGCCCAUCGUCCUCAGAGAGCUUGGCCUGAGUGUCGACAGGCGUGGAGCAGGGCUUGCAGUCAGACAUGCCAGCCCGCUCCAGGAUGUCGAUGGCGUACUGGCGCUGGUGGAGGAAAAGACCCUGGGGCCGGCGCUCGGCGGUGAUGCCGAGGAAGUGGUGUAGGGGCCCCAGGUCCUUCAUCGCGAACUCCCGCUGAAGGGCGACGAUCGUGCGGUGUAGAAGAUCGGCGGUGGAUGCCGUGAGCACAAUGUCGUCGACGUAGAGCAGGAGGUAGACGGUGUCGUCGCCGCGCCGGUAGAUGAACAGGGACGUGUCCGACUUGGCCUCGACGAAGCCGAUGGAGGCCAGGUAGGAGGCGAAGCGACUGUACCAGGCCCGUGGCGCCUGCUUGAGGCCGUACAGGGACCGGUUCAGCCGGCAGACCAGAUCCGGACGGUCAGCGUCGACGAAGCCGGUGGGCUGGCUGCAGUAGACAGUCUCCGUCAGAGUGCCAUGCAGGAAGGCAUUCUUGACAUCGAGCUGAUGGAUCGCCCAGUCGCGGGAGAGGGCGAGGGAGAGGACGGCGCGAACAGUGGCGAACUUGACGACGGGGCUGAAGGUCUCGUCGUAGUCCACUCCGGGGCGCUGGGUGAAACCCCGAAGGACCCAACGGGCCUUGUAGCGGUCGAGGGAGCCAUCCGAGGUCAGCUUGUGGCGAAAUAGCCACUUGCCGGUGACCACGUUGGUGCCUGGUGGACACGGCACUAGGUCCCAGGUGUGGUUGGCCAAGAGGGCCGCGUACUCCUCCAUAGCACGACGCCAAUGUGGGUCGGCGAGGGCAGUGCGAACGGAGGAGGGCACCGGGGAAGCGCCGGGGGGAGUGCUGGACGUAUCAGCAGCCAGGAUCAGCCGGUCGACGGGGCGGAGAACGCCAGCAGCGCGCCGAGUCACCAUCGGGUGAACGUGCCCGGGGUCGCGAUGGAUGGCGACCGGGUGGUAUACGGCCGGCUCGGAGUGAGCCACCGGAACGUCGGGAGCGGCUGGUGGGGCCGGCUCACGGCGGUGAUAGACGACGGCGGGGUCGGCGCAUCGGGCCGCGCUCGUCGACGGGCCCGAGUCGGGGGGCGCCGAGGUAGUGGCGUGGCCACGGCGAUGGUAGACGAGGGCGGGGUUGGCGAACCGAGCCGGAGUCGACGGGGCCGCGCGUGGCGCAGGCGGGGUCGACGGGGCCGCGCGUGGCGCAGGCGGGGUCGACGGGGCCGCGCGUGGCGCAGGCAGGAGCGACGGGGCCGCGCGUGGCGCAGGCAGGACCGACGGGGCCGCGCGAGGAGCAGGUAACGGCGCAAGACGGGUAGCCGAAGGUGGGGGAGGAAUUGGGUCGGACUCGAGGAGGGAGUCAAGAUCGGUGGGUGGGGUGGAGGCAGCAAGGGGAAACACAUCUUCGUCAAAGAUGACAUGACGAGAGAUGAUGAUGCGGUGGGAGGUGAGGUCCAGACACCGGUACCCCUUGUGGUCAGGGGAGUAGCCAAGGAAGAGGCAGCGAGUGGAGCGAGGAGAAAGCUUGUUAGGGGCGGUAGCGGAAAUGUUAGGGUAGCAGGCACAGCCGAACACGCGUAGGUGGUCGUAGGAAGGGGAUGUGCCGUACAGGGCGAAGUGAGGUGUAGGGUGGCUCACCGCCUUCGAGGGAAGACGGUUGAGGAGAUGCGUGGCGGUAUGAAGGGCCUCGGCCCAGUAGGUGGCAGGGAGAGACGCCUGAAAGAGAAGGCAGCGGAUCAUGUUGGUGGUGGUGCGAAUCAUGCGCUCGGCCCGGCCGUUCUGAGCAGAGGUGUAGGGACACGAGAGACGCAACUGGACGCCGUGAGUGAGGAAGAAAGAGCGGGAGGCGUUGUUGUCGAACUCGCGGCCAUUGUCGCACUGCAGGGCACGGACCGGGCGCCGGAACUGGGUGGAAACCCAGGCGAAGAAGUGAGUAAGGGUGGUGAACGUAUCGGACUUCAGCCGAAGGGGGAAAGUCCAAAGGAAAUGGGAGUAGUCAUCCAGAAUAACCAGGUAGUAUUUGUAGCCGGAGAGACUAAGGACAGGAGAUGUCCAGAGAUCACAGUGGACAAGAUCAAAGGCCUGAACAGCCCUGGAUGUGGAAGUGGAAAAGGGAAGACGGGAGUGACGGCCGAGCUGACAAGCAUGACAGAGGCGCUCAGAAGAGCCCCGAGUAUAUGAUAUGUCGGAGUGGCCGGAAAGCUGGGACAUGACGUCAGGUCCAGGGUGCCCGAGGCGACGGUGCCAAAUGGCGGAGGAGGUGGUGGUAGUAGCAAGAGCAUGUGAUGUGGUGGUAGUAUGAAGUACGGGAGAAGAGGCUCCUCUGGUGUGGGGAGUGGAGGGCAAGUGAAGAGAAUAGAGGGGGCCGGAGCUGUUACAGCGAGCGAGCACAGCAUGUGUGGGAAGGUGGCGUAUGGUGAGGCCCCAGGGGUCGAACUCCAUAGAGCACUGGUUGUCACUAGUGAAGCGACGAACCGAGAGGAGGGGAUGAGUCAGUCCGGGAGCAACAAGGACGUCGUUGAGGCAGAAUGGUCCUGGAAGAACCGAUGUACCUACUGAGGUAACCGGGAGGGUGGAACCGUUACCGACGACGAUGGAGGUAGGAUGUGAGGGGUGGGGUGGAUGGGAGUGGAGUAACGAAUUAGUGGUGGGGGUAGUGUGGAAGGAGGCCCCGGAGUCAACCACCCAAUCGGUGGUGGUUCGGGGGGGUGGAAGUGGCGAGGGUACAGUGUGAGCGGAGAGGGCCAGAGAGGGUGCCCCGACAGGAGCACUAGGAAGGGAGGGAGAGGACACGGGCUCAACCGCAAGGGAGGCGAUCGCAGCACGUGGGAAGACAAGCGGUCCAGGCACGUGACGGCCCGCCUGAGGGUGGAUCUCGACGCAGUCCCGAAGAAUAGGGUUCCAGACUGGAUCGAAGGACACGAACAUGCCCCGGAUGAGCUGGCCGUCGUGGAGGAGGACACGCACAGUCACGAGAGCGACGGGCGGGGGUGACGCCAUGGAAUCGAUGUGGGUGGGGACACCGCUGGUAGGAGAAGCGCAACGGCGCGAGGAGCGCGGAGGGGAGGGGCGCAGCUCUGCUGCACGGACUCCGGGGCGUGGGGAAGGAGCGGCGCACGGGCGGCGCGGCAAGGCAGGGGCGCAGGGCGGCCGGCUCGGCGGGUGGCGCGCCCGGCACCGGCGCCAGAGCAGGGAGCCGCGGGUGGUGGGGAGAGGAGGAAGGCCGGCGGCUGAGGGGGCCGGCAGGGGAGGAGAGGCGGCUGGACGCCGGCCGACGGUGAAGGGGAAGAAGCUAGCCCAGUUAUUUGGUCUAUUAAUACACUGCCCAACCCUACUCUAGGGUUAGGGUUUCCAAUAUGGUAUAGAGCCAAAAUUUCUUUCCUGCCCAGCCGCCCUCCCCUGCCCAGCCGCCGGCGCUACCCUGCGCCGCCUUCUCCACCUCCCUGCGACGGCCGCCAUCCUCUCCGCUUCCCACCUCUCCCCGGCCGCGCCCCCAACUCCGGCGUGCACCUGCGCCGUCUCCUCCACCCGCCGGAUCCGCGCGCGCCCUGUCCCGCCCGCACCACCCGAGCCAGCCGCCGCCGGCCCUCCUCUGCUGGCCGCCUCUCCUCCCCUGCCGGUCGCGCCCCAGCCGCCACCCGCCCCUCCUCUGCUGUAAGAAGCGCAGGAGCUCCCGCUGCGUCUCGCCCCGCGCGCCCGUGGCUACCAGCGCGAGCGCCGCGUGGAACGACAGCGGCGACACCACGAAGUUGUGCGCCCCCUGCUGGCCGCUGGCCGCUUGCAGGCCGACCUGCCUCGCGAGCAGCAGGCACGACGUGCUGCCAGUGAACGCCUCCGGUAGCCUUUCCGGUGCCGCAGCGAAGCCGGCAACGGGCACCUCGCCGGGCGGUCCCCACAGCACGGUCAACGUCGACGGAUCGUCUGGUGGCUGCACGAAGACGUAGGCUGCUCGCGUCACGGUGCGCUUGUCGCCGUGGUGCUGCCCGUCGCGACGCGGUGUGCUCAUGCGCUUCUUGAACUCCGGCGUGAGCGCGCGGUUGCCGAGGAGGGCGAGGGGUGAGAAGAUCUUGCCGCUGCCGCGUGCACUCCCCACCGACCCUCACCGAUUUCAUGAUGUCACCCCCACCAUACACGAACUUUACCUCACCCGCUGCUCUCGUGACUGUACGUACACUCCUCCACGACGGCCAGCUCAUCCAGGGCAUGUUCGUGUCCUUCGAUUCCGCCUGGAACCCUAUUCUCCAGGAUUGCGUCGAGCUCCACCCUCAGGCGGGCCGUCACGUGCCUGGACCGCUUGUCUUCCCACGUGCUGCGAUCGCCUACUUAGCGGUUGAGCCCAUGUCAUCUCCCUCCCUUCCUAGUGCCUCUAUCGGGGUACCUCCUUUGGCCCUCUCCGCUCACACCGUACCUUCACCACCACCACCUCCCCCAACCACCACCGAUUGGGUGGUUGACUCCGGGGCCUCCUUCCACACUACCCCCACAACUAGUUCGUUACUCCACUCCCAUCCACUCCACCCCUCACAUCCUUCCUCCAUCGUCGUCGGCAACGGUUCCACCCUCCCGGUCACCUCAGUAGGUACAUCGGUUCUUCCAGGACCAUUCUGCCUUAACGACGUCCUUGUUGCUCCCGGCCUGACUCAUCCCCUCCUCUCGGUUCGUCGCUUCACUAGUGACAACCAGUGCUCUAUGGAGUUCGACCCCUGGGGUCUCACCAUACGCCACCUUCCCUCACAUGCUGUGCUCGCUCGCUGUGACAGCUCCGAGGCGGCACUGGAGCGGGGGUGGGCGCACCCGACGGCGCACCAGGGAGGGGUGGCGGCUGGCGGCCGGCGUUGGGAGGGAAAGGGGGGCCGGCGGCUGGAGCCGGCGGCGGCUGGGAGGGAGACCGAUCGGCUGUGGCCGGCGGCUGGAAAAAAAACAGAGAAACCCUAAACCUAGCCCUCUGAUACCAUGUGAGAAUAGGAACCCAUGCCCCUAACCAGGGAUGGGGAGUAGUAUUAAUAGACUUAGUAACUGGGCCAGGCCCAUUACAGUGAGGGGUGAGACGGUAAUUACAUGGGGAAUACCCCAAACCCUAGAAUCCUAGACGGGUAGUCUAACAUUACCCAGCAAGGUUAGGCAAGGUUGGGUAAAAGAUCAAAGCAGACCCUAAAUGUUGUCAAUAAUGCUUUGUUUUUCUAUUUGAUGUGUCAUGUGGAUGACACUUGUUGUAUUUUCAUUCCCUUCUUUUCUGAAUUUUACUAUCACAUCUUGUAUGUGCUUGUAGAUAAUGUAUGAGGAAGCAAGUCAAGUCGCAACUGAAGCAGUUGGUAGCAUCAGAACGGUAGCAUCUUUUUGUGCCGAGAAGAGAGUGAUGGACAAAUACGAUCAGAAAUGCCAAGCUUCUAGGGACCAGGGAAUUCGAACUGGAAUAGUUGGAGGCCUUGGUUUUGGUUUCUCAUAUCUGAUGCUGUACUCCAGUUCUGCUCUUUGCUACUACGUUGGUGCAAAGUUUGUUAGUCAGGGCAAAAGCACUUUUGGUGAUGUCUUCAAGGUAAGUAAUAAUCAUUGUUUUUUUACCUUUUUGGUGAAUAUAUUAAUUGAUAUGUAUUUUUUGUUGGAAUGCAGGCUUAUUUUGCUUUAGUUAUGGCCAUGAUUGGAGUGUCACAAACAAAUGCUAUGGCUUCUGACUCAGCCAAGGCAAAUGAUUCUGCUAUUUCCAUAUUCUCAAUAUUAGAUAGAAAAUCCUUGAUUGAUUCCAGCAGUGAAGAAGGUUCCACCUUGGAGAAUGUCAAGGGUGACAUUGAUUUUAAGCAUGUCGGCUUCAAAUACCCAUCCCGUCCUGAUGUUCAAAUUUUCACUGACUUCACCUUAACCAUUCCCUCUGGAAAGGUCAAAACUAUACCAGAAAUCUAAUUUGUCAUUCUUCUCUCAGUUAUUAUGAGGACUAAAUUUUUUAUGCCAUCAUUUUUCUGAGGUCUUACACAGAACCCUUUUAUUGCAGACAGUUGCACUCGUUGGUCAAAGUGGUUGUGGGAAGUCCACAGUCAUAUCUUUGUUAGAGCGCUUCUAUGAACCUGACAAUGGUUCGAUUUUAUUAGAUAGAGUGGAAAUUAGUAGCCUAAAGGUCAGCUGGUUGAGGGACCAGAUGGGAUUGGUAAGCCAAGAACCAGUACUUUUCAGUGGAACAAUCCGUGACAAUAUAGCUUACGGGAAGCAUGAAGAGGUAACAGAAGAAGAUAUUGUAACAGCUGCUAGAGCAGCCAAUGCCCAUGAAUUCAUCUCAAGCAUGCCACAAGGGUACAAUACAACUGUUGGAGAGAGAGGAACACAACUGUCAGGUGGCCAAAAACAGCGAAUAGCUAUCGCGAGGGCAAUCUUGAAGGACCCAAGGAUACUUCUUCUGGACGAGGCAACAAGCGCAUUAGAUGCUGAAUCAGAGCGCAUUGUGCAGGAUGCACUAAAUGGUGCUAUGGUUGGCAGGACCACUGUCAUUGUGGCACACCGCCUCUCAACAAUCCAAGGAGCUGAUAUGAUUGCAGUCCUAAAGGACGGCACAAUUGUGGAAAAAGGAAGCCAUGAGAUGCUGAUGGGAAUUGCAGGUGGAGCCUAUGCUUCACUUGUGGAACUUCGCACCAUGUAAUCUAUAAUAUACAGUUCUGAGCUAUGCAAUUGAUGGCAAUUUUCUUGUAAAGAUUUAACAGUUUAUGAAAGAAUUUUUGGUGAACACCUAUAAGUUUGCUUUGCUAGAGGUAAGGCAGAGUACCCAUUGGAGUUUUGCACAGCGUUCCCAAUCCUGUGUUUAAGUUAUCGAAGAGCUAAGUGUUGCGUACUACAACGAUCAAUACGAUCUAGAACACUUAUUAACCAAACAAGUAUAAACAACCAUAUGGAUUACUUGCAUCACAUUUACCUUGGAGAGCAUUUAAAUGAUGAAGCCAAACCUACAAACGCAAACUAGCAAACAACAAAGGCUUUAGAAUGCCUGUGAAGUCAAGAAGAGAAAUGGCUGUUGACCCAUGUGGGGCGAAUCAUACUGUCAAACGUCAUAGAUCCAAAGAUGGUAUCUGCAAUCUGCGAUGACAACAAUUACCAUCAACAGUAGCUCAAUCUCCGUUUGACGGCCCGUUUGCAUUAGUACUGGCGAAACCAGGGCCGUGCGAGAGGGUGGGUGAGUUGUUCGUCGAAACAAGGCCUCCAAAUCUCGAGGGGCCCCAAACGUAUAAAUCUACAGUACAUUUAUAUAAUAUAAAGCUUGUAUUAGUCUCUAAUUCUUUACUCAUCUAUUUGUACGCACGCGUUUAUUUUAUGACUAUGAAGCGUGAGUUUAGCCACAACUAGAGAUGACAAUGGUGACCCGAUUCCCCGCGGGAAUUUCCCUAUUAGAAUAUGAGUAUGAGGGUAAUUUAGUCCACACGAGGAUCAAAAUUGGAAAAUUACUCCACGGGUUUCCUGCGUACCCACCACAAGAACAUCCCUUGAUCUAAACUAGUCCAUGAUGGAAUAAGUCUUGAGCAUCUAGAGGACAACAGUCGCUUUUGACUGUCCUCUGUAGUCCUUUAGCAUCUAGAGGACAGCUUGACUGUCCUCUGUAGUCUCUUUAGCAUCUAGAGGACAGCAGUCGCUUUUUGACUGUCCUCUGUAGUCGCUUUAGCAUCUAGAGGACAACAGUCGUUUUUGACUGUCCUCUGUAGUCUCUUUAGCAUCUAGAGGACAAUCCUGUUGUGUAGUGUGUGUGAGAAGGUGUGGUAGUGCAGCCUCUAGGGCUAUAAAUAUGGGUCUCCAACCCUUAGAUGGGUAUGGCAUUGUGUAGCGUUUGAGGAAAUAAACAGAAAAAUUGUCCCAACUCAUAGUGUCAUCCUCUGAUGAGAGUUAGAGUCCCUCUACUUACAAUUGGUAUCGGAGCCAAACUAUCCUGCAGCCUAAACAUCUCGUGCUCAUCUCCUUCCCGCGCCUCUCCCCACACUCAGUCGGCAGCAAGAGCUCCAACUGUUCCUUCCUCCCCUGCUCAGACGAGCAGCCUUUCGUCUGAGACAGCCUCUUCCACACGCAGCGACCCCUCACUAGCCCACCAUGUCCCUACGCUCGGCCACUUCGAGUGCGCGGCGGCAGCAGGAGGCCGAGGUCGCCGCGGCACAAGAACGCGAGCGAGCAGCAGCAGCGGCUGCAGCGACAGCGGCGAGGGCAGCACGGUUGGCAGCGGCGGAACUGGCAGCGGCGAGAGCGGAAGUAGAAGCAGCGGAGGCGGCGGAUGCUGCACGUGCGGCGGCAACAGAGCUCGAGGUUCUGCGCGGCAGUAGAGCUGGCAGCUCUGCUUCUGUCGACGACAACACCGACGAAGAGCUCAGGCUGGCGAGGGAAGCAGCGCGAGAGCAGGCGGCACAGUGGGCAGCCGCGCAUCCCCAUGGGGGCGCGCGUGGUGGCAGCCCGGAUAGGCGUCGACACGCUGACGGCGCUCCAGGCGGGGGCGCACGCGGCGGCAGCCCAGACGGGCGUAGACGCGCCGGCGGUGCUCCCGGCGGCGGCGACCGAGUUGACGGAGAUCGCGGCCUCUACAGGCGGCGCGGUUCUCCCUCCCCGGAUCGGUACCAUGGUCGCCGCAUGGCCCAAGCCAUUGUCAGGGACAUCGGUCCCGGCGGUGGGUGGCCUACCCUCACCAAGACCAACUACGUCGAGUGGGCCGCGGUGAUGAGGGUACGGCUUCAGGUUCGCCACAUGUGGGAAGCAGUUCGUUACGACGACGUCGACUACCACGAGGAUCGGCGGGCGCUGGAUGCCCUCAUUGCUGCAGUCCCGCCCGAGAUGCAGUUUUCGCUUUCCUAGAAGCGGACUGCCAAGGAGGCCUGGGACGCCAUCGCUGUGACCCGCAUCGGCAGCGACCGUGCCCGCAAGACCACACUGCAGACACUUCGCAAGGAGUGGGAGAACCUGGCCUUCAAGCCAGGUGAGGAUGUUGAUGACUUUGCUCUCCGCCUCAACACUCUGUUGCAGAAGAUGGUGCAGUUCGGCGACGACACCUACGAUGAGGAGAGAGCUGUUGAGAAGCUCUUCCGUUGCAUCCCCGAGAAGUACAAGCAGAUUGCUCGCUCGAUCGAGUCUCUGCUAGACCUCUCCACGAUGACGAUCGAAGAGGCGAUAGGUCGUCUCAAGGUGGUCGACGGCGACGAACCACAGGCUCCCUCUGGGCCUAUCACUAUCGGCGGGAAGCUACAUCUCACUCGGGAGCAGUGGGAGGCCUGCCAGGGUGACAAGAAGAAGGGGGAGUCCUCCUCGACACGAGGCCGCAAACGCGGCAAGCAGCGCAAGGCGCAUGGAGGCGCCCAGGCCGGGGCGCGAGGACAUGCUGAGGGUGGUGCACGUGGAGGUGCCCAAGGCGGCGCCGUCGGCAACAAGAAGCCGGCACGAGACGACGGCUGUCACAACUGCGGCAAGCUUGGCCACUGGGCCAGGGACUGUCGACAGCCACGACGUGGUCAGGCCAACGUCGCACAGGCGGAGGCGGAGGAGGAGGCCCUGCUCCUGGCACAUGCAAGCAUCGAGCCAUCUCCAGCGGCACCGGCCGCAGCGGCACUCCUCCACCUUGAUGAGUCGAAAGCACGCGCUUUCCUCGGCGACGGCUCCAACAAGGACAUGAUCGAAGGAUGGUGCCUCGACACCGGCGCCACUCAUCACAUGACCGGCCGACGGGAGUUCUUCACCGAGCUUGACUCUAGCGUCCGAGGCUCCGUCAAGUUUGGGGACGCCUCCGGCGUAGAGAUCAAGGGCGCCGGCUCAGUCGUCUUCACCGCCGCGUCUGGUGAGCACAGGCUGCUCACCGGAGUCUACUACAUCCCCGCGUUGAGGAACUCUAUCAUCAGCUUGGGACAGCUGGAUGAGAACGGUUCGCGCGUGGAGGUUGAGCACGGAGUCAUGAGGAUCUGGGAUCCCUCUCGUCGCCUUCUUGCCAAGGUACGCAGGAGUGCAAAUCGGCUUUACAUCCUCAAUGUGAAGGUGGCACAACCUUGCUGCCUUGCUGCUCGUCGAGACGACGGGGCAUGGCAGUGGCACGAGCGCUUCGGGCACCUUAACUUCGAGGCCCUGAAGCGGCUCAGUGCCAAGGAGAUGGUACGAGGCCUGCCGUGCCUUGACCAUGUGGAGCAAUUCUGCGAUGUCUGCGUGUUGACAAAGCAGAGACGGCUCCCCUUUCCCUAGCAGUCGAGCUUCCGAGCCAAGGAGAGGCUCGAGCUCGUGCAUGGGGACUUGUGUGGCCCGGUGACACCAGCCACACCAGGAGGACGACGCUAUUUGUUGCUGCUCGUCGACGAUCUCUCCCGCUACAUGUGGGUGAUGAUCCUUGGCAGCAAGGGAGAGGCUGCGAACGCCAUCAGGCGUGUGCAGGUCGCUGCGGAGGCGGAGUGCGGCCGCAAGCUGCGCGUGCUGCGCACCGACAACGGCGGCGAAUUCACGGCGGCUGAGUUCGCGUCGUACUGCGCGGAUGAGGGCGUUCAGCGCCACUACUCCGCGCCGUACAGCCCGCAGCAGAACGGCGUCGUCGAGCGGCGCAACCAGACGGUUGUGGGGAUGACUCGGGCUCUCCUCAAGCAGAGAAGAAUGCCAGCUGUCUUCUGGGGAGAGGCGGUGGUGACAGCGGUUUACAUCCUCAACCGCUCGCCCACCAAGGCUCUCAACGGGAUGACACCGUACGAGGCUUGGCAUGGGCGCAAGCCGGCGGUCUCUCACCUACGGGUCUUCGGCUGUCUCGCAUUCACCAAGGAGCUUGGCCACAUCAGCAAGCUCGACGAUAGGAGCACCCCAGGGGUGUUCAUUGGCUACGCGGAGGGCUCGAAGGCCUACCGCAUCCUUGACCCAAGAACACAGCGUGUGCGCACGGCGUGCGACGUAGUGUUCGAUGAAGGGCGAGGAUGGGCGUGGGACAAGGCGGUGGACGACGGCACGACUCCGACGUACGACUUCACCAUCGAGUACGUCCAUUUUGAGGGAGCUGGGGGAGUAGGCAACUCUUCUCCGAGCAGGUCUACCCCAGCCCCCAAGUCUCCACCGACUCCAGCGCCAAACUCUCCAGCUCCUGCUACAACGAGCUUUUCACCACCACGCACUCCAGCCACGACUCCGGCUACAGCGAGCUCUUCGCCACCACGUACUCCAGCACCGACGGUACCCUCUCCGGGAACGUCCUCUCCGACACCAGCUCGCGUCGAGCACGACCCAGUGGAGCUCGUGACCCCUCUGUCCCGCGACGAGGAGCGCGUCGACGCGUGCUACGACGGCGAGCCGUUGCGGUAUCGAAGGGUGGAGGGCCUUCUCAUCGACCCGUCGGUGCCAGGCCCUGCAUCUCGCAUUCUGGCAGGAGAGUUGCAUCUUGCAUGCGACGAUGAUGAGCCUCGGUCUUUCGCGGAGGCCGAGAAACAUGCGGCUUGGCGUGCCGCGAUGCAGUCGGAGAUGGACGCGGUUGAGACGAACCGCACCUGGGAGCUCGCUGAUCUCCCUCAUGGUCAUCGCGUGAUCACCCUUAAAUGGGUGUUCAAACUGAAAAGGGAUGAAGCCGGCGCCAUCGUCAAGCAUAAGACUCGCUUGGUGGCACGCGGUUUCUUGCAGCAGGAGGGGAUCGACUUCGACGAUGCCUUCGCCCCUGUAGCACGGAUGGAAUCCGUGCGACUCCUCCUCGCGCUGGCAGCCCUGGAGGGCUGGCAUGUUCAUCACAUGGAUGUCAAGUCGGCGUUUCUUAACGGCGACUUAAAGGAGGAGGUCUACGUACACCAGCCGCCAGGUUUUGCGAUCCCUGGCAAGGAAGGCAAGGUGUUGCGCCUGCGCAAGGCUCUCUAUGGCCUGCGACAGGCACCGAGGGCGUGGAAUGCCAAGCUAGAUUCCACGCUCAAAGGAAUGGGUUUCACGCCAAGCCCGCACGAGGCGGCCAUCUAUCGGCGGGGCAAUGGAGGAAGUGCCCUGCUGGUGGGUGUCUACGUCGACGAUUUGGUGAUCACCGGCGCCAAGGAUGCAGAGGUGACAGCGUUCAAGGAAGAGAUGAAGACCACCUUCCAAAUGAGUGACCUGGGGCAUCUCUCCUUCUACCUGGGGAUUGAGGUGCACCAGGGUGACUCCGGGAUCACACUUCGCCAGACCGCCUAUGCCAGGCGCAUUGUUGAGCUGGCUGGGCUCACCGACUGCAACCCAGCUCUCACUCCGAUGGAGGAGAGGCUGAAGCUGAGUCGCGACAGCACGACGGAGGAGGUGGAUGCUACUCAGUACCAGCGUCUUGUGGGGAGCCUUCGCUACCUCGUCCACACACGGCCUGACUUGGCAUACUCCGUCGGCUACGUUAGUCGGUUUCUGCAGCGACCGAUGACGGAGCAUGACCAGGCUGUGAAGAGGAUCAUCCGCUAUGUUGCGGGGACUCUCGACCACGGUCUCUACUACCCGAGGUGCCCUGGGGAGGCACACCUUGUCGGGUACAGCGACAGCGACCACGCCGGUGACAUCGACACUAGCAAGAGCACAAGCGGGAUCCUCUUCUUCCUCGGCAAGUGCCUCAUUAGCUGGCAGUCGGUCAAGCAGCAGGUGGUGGCCAUGUCCAGCUGCGAGGCCGAGUACAUAGCGGCGUCCACUGCUUCGACUCAGGCGCUCUGACUGGCUCGACUGCUCGGUGAUCUCCUCGGAAGAGACACUGGAGCAGUGGAACUCAGGGUGGACAGCCAGUCCGCUCUGGCAUUGGCCAAGAACCCCGUGUUCCAUGAACGGAGCAAGCACAUCCGGCUGAGAUACCACUUCAUCCGAGACUGCUUGGCGGAAGGGAGCAUCAAGGCGCGUUACAUCAACACCAAGGAUCAGCUUGCAGACCUGCUCACCAAGCCCCUUGGGAAGAUCAAGUUUGUUGAGCUUUGCUCCAGGUCCGGGAUGACCCAACUUUCUCACAAGACGACGCCCAAGACUUAGGGGGAGAAUGAUGGAAUAAGUCUUGAGCAUCUAGAGGACAACAGUCGCUUUUGACUGUCCUCUGUAGUCCUUUAGCAUCUAGAGGACAGCUUGACUGUCCUCUGUAGUCUCUUUAGCAUCUAGAGGACAGCAGUCGCUUUUUAACUGUUCUCUGUAGUCGCUUUAGCAUCUAGAGGACAACAGUCGUUUUUGACUGUCCUCUGUAGUCUCUUUAGCAUCUAGAGGACAAUCCUGUUGUGUAGUGUGUGUGAGAAGGUGUGGUAGUGCAGCCUCUAGGGCUAUAAAUAUGGGUCUCCAACCCUUAGAUGGGUAUGGCAUUGUGUAGCGUUUGAGGAAAUAAACAGAAAAAUUGUCCCAACUCAUAGUGUCAUCCUCUGAUGAGAGUUAGAGUCUCUCUACUUACAGUCCAUUGACUUAAAAUUACACUAAAAACACUACAUAGCAUAUUAUAAAAUAUGCAAACUAAACUCUAAAGUAUGUCUUUUGUAACUUUAAAUCUUGUUGAUUCAAUUUAUAUUUAUUUGAUAUAUUUAAUUUAAAUUUAUCUUUAAAUAUUGCACUUCCUAACAUGGAUGAAUUCCCCGCAUGGAUACAUUUCCCAACGGGGACAUGGAUGGGUAAAACCUUCCUCGUGAGCAUUCGUAGGGAUGGUGACAGGAUGUGGAGCCAUUCUUCGACGGGGAAUUUCUCUUUGCCAUUCUUAAGCACAGCCCAUGAGCCCAUAGUUUUGCGAUAGCCGACACUCUCAACUAGUAAGAGAGGCCUCGAAUCUGUACAUGGCCUCGAAUUUUGCCGGCACAACCCUGGGCGAAACCCACCAAAUGGUAUAGCCCCUAGCAAGGUGGUAAUUCGUACUACUAGGCUACCAAAUACCGAACCGUUUAAGUUCAUUAAUCAUCAAUUCGGUCCAGCAAAAAAAAAAAUCCACCGCCGUUCAUUUUGAUUCGACCUGGCUCCGCGCAUACGACCUCAGCGGUGGAAAUUACAGGAAUGCGAAUAAGAACUUCAGAAGGUUUAGGUUUAAAGGCUAAGGCCAUACCGCAGGUAGCGUACUUGCGCUCCCGGAAGGAGACGAGGAGGUGUACAGGUCGGCCAUUCCGGAUGCGCGGUACAGGCAGGACCGAGGGGAAGGGAAGAGCCUUGCCGAAAGCGCCGGACGCGAGGAUCGCCGCUGGUCGGAGAACCCGAGGGGACAACCGGCCGAGGGUUGUUGGGCCGCCGGUGGUAAUGGGCUAAUUGAUAGCCUGCUAGUUCAUGCUUUUUGUUGGACCAGGCCCACUAAUGCUUUCACCU
rnacentral:lncRNA from 1 species